GUAAUGGUGGGGACUCAUGGGAGACUGCCGGGGUCAACUCGGAGGAAGGUGAGGACGACGUCAAAUCAUCAUGCCCCUUAUGUCUUGGGCUUCACGCAUGCUACAAUGGCCGGUACAAUGGGUUGCGAUACUGUGAGGUGGAGCUAAUCCCAAAAAGCCGGUCUCAGUUCGGAUUGGGGUCUGCAACUCGACCCCAUGAAGUCGGAGUCGCUAGUAAUCGCAGAUCAGCAACGCUGCGGUGAAUACGUUCCCGGGCCUUGUACACACCGC
rnacentral:rRNA from 1 species